rnacentral:lncRNA from 1 species
UACAAACGAUAGAUAUGUAAUAAUAUUACUAUAUUCUCCUCCCCUUAAUUUAAUACGUCACAGUGUCUAUUGUUUUAUUUAAUUAUCAAUUCUCAAAAAGGAGGGACGCCAUCGAUCUCUAUUAGAUCUCCUGGGCUCUGUAUUAUUAUUCUCUACGACAGUCAUCAAUGGUUCUUCCUCAUCUACUUCUUGUAAUGUACUCUCAUCUCCUCCAUCUACUACUUUUGAUCCUGGAGCUAAAUGCUUUAGCGGCACUGGUUUCUCUUCCAUUUUCGAAGCGGACAUGAGCGAGUACAAUAUCUGCUUCUAAUAGCCGUGUCCGUAUUGUCUGAUGAAGGCCCAUCUUCCGUUAAUAACGAAACAUCCUUUCGUGCGGAGUCUGAUUAGUAGCACAGCUCCCCAGACUUGAGAGCUAAUGUUACAGCCUUCAAAACAAUGUCGUUAUAUCGUUCUACCUGUCCGUUCCCCUGAGGAUUGUAAGGGGCAGUACGACUUGUUGCGACUCCUCUUAUAGUUAGAUAUGUCCUCAAUUCUUUCGACAUAAAAGCAGAUCCUCAAUCUGAGUGAAUAUAUUCCGGCAACCCGAAAAUGGCACCAAAAUCCUGAAGACAUCUAAUCAAUGAUUUAGAGGAGAGGUCUACAGAUGGAUAAGCGAAAGGAAAUCUGGAAUAUUCAUCUACUAAGGCCAGAUAUAUUUAUUUUUGCUAUUUG